rnacentral:rRNA from 1 species
UACGUAGGGAGCAAGCGUUGUCCGGAAUCAUUGGGCGUAAAGGGCGCGUAGGCGGCUCUGCACGUCCGUUGUGAAAUCGCCCGGCUCAACUGGGCGGGGUCAGCGGAUACGGCGGAGCUUGAGCAAGCUAGGGGGCAAUGGAAUUCCCGGUGUAGUGGUGGAAUGCGUAGAUAUCGGGAGGAACACCAGUGGCGAAGGCGGUUGCCUGGGGCUUUGCUGACGCUGAUGCGCGAAAGCGUGGGGAGCGAUCCGG